rnacentral:rRNA from 1 species
UACAGAGGGGGCAAGCGUUGUUCGGAAUUACUGGGCGUAAAGGGCGCGUAGGCGGCCUGUUAAGUCGGACGUGAAAUCCCUCGGCUUAACCGGGGAACUGCAUCCGAUACUGGAUGGCUUGAGUUCGGGAGAGGGAUGCGGAAUUCCAGGUGUAGCGGUGAAAUGCGUAGAUAUCUGGAGGAACACCGGUGGCGAAGGCGGCAUCCUGGACCGACACUGACACUGAGGAGCGAAAGCCAGGGGAGCAAACGGG